rnacentral:rRNA from 1 species
UACGAAGGGGGCUAGCGUUGCUCGGAAUGACUGGGCGUAAAGGGCGCGUAGGCGGAUGACACAGUCAGAUGUGAAAUUCCCGGGCUUAACCUGGGGGCUGCAUUUGAGACGUGUUGUCUAGAGUGAGGAAGAGGGUUGUGGAAUUCCCAGUGUAGAGGUGAAAUUCGUAGAUAUCAGGAGGAACACCGGUGGCGAAGGCGACUACCUGGCCUGUUCUUGACGCUGAGGCGCGAAAGCUAGGGGAGCAAACGGG